rnacentral:rRNA from 1 species
UACGAAGGGGGCUAGCGUUGCUCGGAAUUACUGGGCGUAAAGCGCACGUAGGCGGCUUUCUAAGUCGGGGGUGAAAUCCUGGAGCUCAACUCCAGAACUGCCUUCGAUACUGGAGAGCUUGAGUCCGGGAGAGGUGAGUGGAAUUCCCAGUGUAGUGGUGAAAUACGUAGAGAUUGGGAAGAACACCAGUGGCGAAGGCGGCUAUCUGGACGGUUACUGACGCUAAGACUCGAAAGCGUGGGGAGCAAACAGG